GGGCGGUCCGCCGCCCGUGACUCUGCGAGAAGUCCAUUGAACCUUAUCAUUUAGAGGAAGGAGAAGUCGUAACAAGGUUUCCGUAGGUGAACCUGCGGAAGGAUCAUUGU
rnacentral:rRNA from 1 species